CAAGCCCAUCAUCCUGAGAUAAUGAAGUCGCUCAUUCUUGGGCACAAAAGUUCGAAUAGAAGCCUUUCCCCGCCACCCACACAGCACAAUGGGGCACUGGAGGGCAUCUGGAUUCCUGCCAACAAAGAAGGUCCCAUGUCCAGCCUACAGUGACCUGAGAAUUGCCAUGUCCUAACCUGAAGGCUGGGGUCUGGGCUUUGAUCCUAGAACCCAGAGUGUGAGGAAGGAAUCAAUUACUACAGGGUGUCUUCUGACCUCUACAUGCUCACUAUGGCACAUACAUGCCAAACCAUCAACGAGAGACAUAAAAGAAACCUUCAUCUAAGAUUUAAAAAAGAAAUAUAAAGUUCCCGUUUCUUUUUAAAUAA